CGGAGUUAGCCGGUGCUUAUUCCUCGGGUACCGUCAUCAUCUUCCCCGAGAAAAGGGCUUUACAACCCUAAGGCCUUCGUCACCCACGCGGCGUCGCUGGAUCAGGGUUGCCCCCAUUGUCCAAGAUUCCCCA
rnacentral:rRNA from 1 species